rnacentral:piRNA from 1 species
UCUUCGGUAGUAUAGUGGUCAGUAUCCCCGCC